rnacentral:rRNA from 1 species
CCUACGGGUGGCUGCAGUGAGGGAUAUUGGUCAAUGGGGGAAACCCUGAACCAGCAACGCCGCGUGAGGGAAGACGGUUUUCGGAUUGUAAACCCCUGUCCUCUGGGGAGAUAAUGACGGUAGCAGACGAGGAAGCUCCGGCUAACUACGUGCCAGCAGCCGCGGUAAUACGUCGGGAGCAAGCGUUAUCCGGAUUUACUGGGUGUAAAGGGUGCGUAGGCGGCCCUGCAAGUCCGAAGGGAAAUCCAUGGGCCUCACCCCUGGACUGCUUUUGAAACUGUAGGGCUUGAGUGAAGUAGAGGCAGGCGGAAUUCGCGGUGUAGCGGUGAAAUGCGUAGAGAUCGGGAGGAACACCAGUGGCGAAGGCGGCCUGCUGGGCUUUAACUGACGCUGAGGCACGAAAGCGUGGGUAGCAAACAGGAUUAGAUACCCCUGUAGUC